UCGAUUCUGCCCUCCCCAGUCUACUCCGAGCCUGUUUCCUGACCCCGGCCUCUGGGAUGUAGCGAUCAUAUCUUUCACAUUGCAUGCUCAGCUCGUUACUUCCUCCACCCACAUUCAUCUUUCACGGCUUAUUUAGGCGAUCAUCAUAUCUGCGCAGUUUAUGUAUCAGGACUUAGGAGUGGAGCAGGUGUCUGUGAUCUAAAUUCACGGUUCAGGGAUGAUAAUUGGAGGAUAUGCCCUUCGGUGGUGAGCGCCUUAUUUGCCUUCUGUGGAGGUAUAGGCUCAGCAAACCUGAAACAUCAGAAAUGCCAUAGGGUGUUGCAAAGAACGCGUUCAUUACAUAUACGGCCAAAGAAGGCAGACUCAUACAGGUGCUCUAAGUGGAGUGGAAUUUACAAUUUUAAAUCUCUGUCCAACAAAACCAUCGGCUUGACCCUCACAGUUUUUGGUCUAGCGGCAAGAACUACAUGUUGAAAGGUUGAAGUCGAGUUCGGUGCAUUGAUGUUAGCAGGAAGUAAAACUGAGAAAGCCUUUGUCAGCCUAUAAGGAAAUGGUUUGACAAUGGAGUUUGUGUAAUGUAGUGCGUGAAAACUCAACUGGCUUGUUUCAGGAGAUUAAGUGAGUAUGAUGUUAAGACUAUCGGGUGUGUAUCCGUGACAUGUUGGACAAUCUGGUAGGCUCGAAAAGGAAUUGGUAUGGAGGGAAAAAAAAUCAGUUGCUACAAAAGUGGUAAAUAAUGCAAUUAUUUUCCUUGAUACAUGGAAUCUUGCUCGAACAUAUGAUUCUAAUCAUCCGGUUGCCGCUACAAAUCAUGCUGAAGUAGCAGAGCGCUGGUCUAAACUUGAAAUUGGUAAUAUCAAGUUUAAUUGUGAUGCUGCUAUUUUUAGCUCUGAAAGCUGGCCCAUGAUCAUAAUUGUGUGUUGUUAGAGACUGCUGCUAAUGUCCGUGUAGGGAGAGUGGAACUGCAACUUGCUGAAGCGAUUAGUUUAAAGGUGGUUGUGAAUUGGAUCAAAGAUCUCAACAUCAAUACUUUUGCUGGUGUGCAGACUGAUUGUGAGCACACAUUCCUUGCUCUCUUCUUCAGGUCUGAUUGUUGCGAUUGCAAGGCAUUAUAUUACCAAAUGUUUCUAUGUCUUUUGUAAAAUGGCUCGGAAACAGGACAAUCAAUUAGUCUUCUUGUUCACUACCUGGCCGUAGUCAAUGAGGGUUCUGUCCCUAUUGAGUUGGAGCCAAACUUGAUAGUUGAUUUAUCUUAAUGAAAUUGUUCCAUUACCUUUCUAGAAAAA